CCCUUAGAUGUUCUGGGCCGCACGCGCGCUACACUGAUGCAUUCAACGAGCCUAUCCUUGACCGACAGGUCCGGGUAAUCUUUGAAUCUGCAUCGUGACGGGGAUAGAUUAUUGCAAUUAUUAAUCUUCAACGAGGAAUGCCUAGUAGGCGCAAGUCAUCAGCUUGCGUCGAUUACGUCCCUGCCCUUUGUACACACCGCCCGUCGCUCCUACCGAUUGGGUGUGCUGGUGAAAUGUUCGGAUCGGCCGUUUGUCGCGGUUUCGGCGUCAUGUGGCUGAGAAGUUCAUUAAACCCUCCCACCUAGAGGAAGGAGAAGUCGUAACA
rnacentral:rRNA from 1 species